rnacentral:rRNA from 1 species
GACGAACGCUGGCGGCGUGCCUAAUACAUGCAAGUUGAGCGCUGAAGGUUGGUACUUGUACCAACUGGAUGAGCAGCGAACGGGUGAGUAACGCGUGGGGAAUCUGCCUUUGAGCGGGGGACAACAUUUGGAAACGAAUGCUAAUACCGCAUAAAACCUUUAAACACAAGUUUUAAGUUUGAAAGAUGCAAUUGCAUCACUCAAAGAUGAUCCCGCGUUGUAUUAGCUAGUUGGUGAGGGAAAGGCUCACCAAGGCGAUGAUACAUAGCCGACCUGAGAGGGUGAUCGGCCACAUUGGGACUGAGACACGGCCCAAACUCCUACGGGAGGCAGCAGUAGGGAAUCUUCGGCAAUGGACGAAAGUCUGACCGAGCAACGCCGCGUGAGUGAAGAAGGUUUUCGGAUCGUAAAACUCUGUUGGUAGAGAAGAACGUUGGUGAGAGUGGAAAGCUCAUCAAGUGACGGUAACUACACAGAAAGGGACGGCUAACUACGUG